AUUGAACGCUGGCGGCAGGCCUAACACAUGCAAGUCGAGCGAGCGGCGGACGGGUGAGUAAAGUCUGGGAAACUGCCUGAUGGAGGGGGAUAACUACUGGAAACGCUAGAUAAUACCGCAUACCAUCAGAUGUGCCCAGAUGGGAUUAGCUGUUAGUGUGGGUAACGGCUCACCUCGGCGACGAUCCCUAGCUGGUCUGAGAGGAUGACCAGCCACACUGGAACUGAGACACGGUCCAGACUCCUACGGGAGGCAGCAGUGGGGAAUAUUGCGCAAUGGGCGCAAGCCUGAUGCAGCCAUGCCGCGUGUGUGAAGAAGGCCUUCGGGUUGUAAAGCACUUUCGGCGGGGAGGCGUUACCUGCAGAAGAAGCACCGGCUAACUCCGUGCCAGCAGCCGCGGUAAUAC
rnacentral:rRNA from 1 species